AGAGUUUGAUCCUGGCUCAGGACGAACGCUGGCGGCGCGCCUAACACAUGCAAGUCGAACGAGCGAGAGAGAGCUUGCUUUCUUGAGCGAGUGGCGAACGGGUGAGUAACGCGUGAGGAACCUGCCUCAAAGAGGGGGACAACAGUUGGAAACGACUGCUAAUACCGCAUAAGCCCACGACCCGGCAUCAGGUAGAGGGAAAAGGAGCAAUCCGCUUUGAGAUGGCCUCGCGUCCGAUUAGCUGGUUGGUGAGGUAACGGCCCACCAAACCGACGAUCCAUAGCCGGCCUGAGAGGGUGAACGGCCACAUUGGGACUGAGACACGGCCCAAACUCCUACGGGAGGCAGCAGUGGGGAAUAUUGCACAAUGGGGGAAACCCUGAUGCAGCGACGCCGCGUGAGUGAAGAAGUAAUUCGUUAUGUAAAGCUCUAUCAGCAGGGAAGAAAAUGACGGUACCUGACUAAGAAGCCCCGGCUAACUACGUGCCAGCAGCCGCGGUAAUACGUAGGGGGCAAGCGUUAUCCGGAUUUACUGGGUGUAAAGGGAGCGUAGACGGCCGUGCAAGUCUGAUGUGAAAGGCUGGGGCUCAACCCCGGGACUGCAUUGGAAACUGUAUGGCUGGAGUGCCGGAGAGGUAAGCGGAAUUCCUAGUGUAGCGGUGAAAUGCGUAGAUAUUAGGAGGAACACCAGUGGCGAAGGCGGCUUACUGGACGGUAACUGACGUUGAGGCUCGAAAGCGUGGGGAGCAAACAGGAUUAGAUACCCUGGUAGUCCACGCCGUAAACGAUGAUUACAAGGUGUUGGGGGGACUGGCCCUUUGGUGGCGCCCGCAAACGCAGUAA
rnacentral:rRNA from 1 species